rnacentral:lncRNA from 1 species
UGACAAGGCAGAUGGCUUUUAUAAUCUGGUGAGAGGUGAUCAAAUAUAUCAGUGUUCUGAUGUGUGACAGGAAAAACAUAUCUGUAUUUCUACAUAUCUGUAUUUCUCACUCAAAAUGAAAUCGGACAGGAACUGUGUGUGUCACUGACAGCUCCUCAGAGGAAGAAAUGUACAAGAGAAAAGCAAGGCGUGUGUGCGAGUAGCUGAAGGCAGAGACUUCCAGAUGCAGGGAAAGGUUCAGUGAGGAGGCUGUGCUGAGAAGACAGGUCAGCAAGUACAGGACUCAAAACAAAGUCAUAACAACCUUAUUGAAGCUUGUGGAGUUUUGCAGCAUAGAAAGUAAAGGCAAGUACUCCAAAAUAACGAGGAAAAUGUCAUCAUUUCUCAGUAUG